UACAGAGGGGGCAAGCGUUGUUCGGAAUUACUGGGCGUAAAGGGCGCGUAGGCGGCCUUCUAAGUCAGACGUGAAAUCCCUCGGCUCAACCGGGGAACUGCGUCUGAGACUGGAAGGCUUGAAUCCGGGAGAGGGAUGUGGAAUUCCUGGUGUAGCAGUGAAAUGCGUAGAUAUCAGGAGGAAUACCGAUGGCGAAGGCAGGUCUCUGGGCUGACACUGACGCUCAUGCACGAAAGCGUGGGGAGCAAACAGG
rnacentral:rRNA from 1 species